UUCCACAAUGUCGCAAUGUCCACAUUCUUUGCAUUCUUGUUAUAAAAUCUAUUUCAUCGUCACAUUUGAUAGUUAAUGUGGUCAAUAAAACCGCAACCUCCUUUAAGUAAACAAAAUUUAAAUAUUAUUAUCCGUAUAUAUAUAUACCUUAAACCACUAAAACAACCUUGAACUUCAAAACUUUUAUACUACUUUUCCGUAGAUAAAGUAUUCUUCGCUUUCUUUUUGCGUCCAGAAUUUUUUAAUUUAUUAGAAAUACCAUUGGCCAUCAGCCUUUUCUCGUUUCGCUUCUGUCUCCUUUCACCAAAUCCCCUAUCGAUCAUCUCAAGAGAAGCCUGGCGUUUAGCGUCCGUAACUUCCUUGAUGUAUUCAAGCAUCUUAUUCUCUGACACGUGUUCAUAUUCAGAAAGCUUAGUUCCUACUCGAUCCUCAAUAGCAUGGACUAAAUCAACAUCUCUCUCCGUUACAAUGGAAAUGGACUCGCCACUGCGUCCAGCACGAGCUGUACGACCUACUCGGUGAAUAUAGUCGUCUGGGUCACGAGGAAGGUCGAAGUUAAUUACUAGUUGCACAGAAGGAAUAUCCAAACCUCUGCUUGCAACGUCAGUGGCUACCAAAAUUUUUGCAGCUUCCGCACGAAACCGUCCAAGUGAAUUGAUCCUUUCACGUUGUACCAUUUCUGAAUGAAGUUCGGUGACACGAAGCUCGAGCAAUCGAAGAAUAGAAUAUAUCAAUUCAGCAGUGCGAGUCCGAUUUACAAAGAUAAUUGCAGACUUUUUAGCGUUCUCAGGAAUCGUUAACAAAUGCACCAAAUAAGCUUCUCGUACUUGUGAGGAAACAAAUAUGUAACUUUGCUGCAAAGUAGAAGGUACGGAAAUGUUAUCAGUUUCAACUUCGUAUAACCAAAGGGGAGGCUUAUUAUUUUUCUGUGGCUGAUAUUUGAGCUGACGAAUAGCAUCAGUAACAGUUGCAGUAAACAAAAGCGUUUGACGAUCUUCAGAGGCUGGAAGAACAGAAAAGCAAUCAUCCAAGUCAUCAGCAAAGGUAGGAGACAACAAACGGUCGGCUUCGUCCAUUACCAAAAAUUUUAUUCGACGUAGUCCGGCUAUCGUUUCUUCACCAUUACUUCUAAUCAAGUCAGCUAGGCGACCAGGAGUAGCUACAACAACAUGGGGCCGUUUCGAUAAAUCAAUAGAUUGUCGUAUCAUAUCCAUGCCUCCAACGAUGAGCGCAUGCUUUAAAUUAAGAUUAGCACCUAAAGCAGCAAAUUGUUCAUCAAUCUGUAUUGCAAGUUCUCUGUUCGAGUUAGCUAAUUGUAGUAGAAUAGUUAA